GAAAGGUCAUUGUCCUCUCCAGUGGGGUAUAAGCUCCCUCCUCACCUUGACUCGGUGUUACAGGUAGCUAGUUUUUGGGUGUGUUUUGCUGAUCUCUUGAGCUUCAAAGGGAGGGUUUCAUGAAGUAGAUCAAGUUCUCCAAUUACUAGGUGCUUUAGCUUAGUGAGGUUUCGAUGCAAAUCUGGGCCUAGGAGCUAUCACAUGCAUGAAGGGAGGCUUCAAAGCCUCACAUGGACACCAGCUACUUUAGGGAUACACACCUCUUCCUCUCUAUUUG
rnacentral:misc_RNA from 1 species